GGGGAUGUAGCUCAGUUGGUAGAGUGUUUGCCUAGAGUGCUUGAAGCUCUGGGUUCAAUCCCCAGCACCUCA
rfam:Neotoma lepida isolate 417 scaffold_75, whole genome shotgun sequence.